AAACAAAAUAAUUAGUAGAGUUAACUAAAAAUAAUUAAUAUAAUUAAUUAAGUGAUGUUAACUAAUUGAACUAAUUAAUUAUAAUUAGCCAAGCUACUUAUAUAAAGAAAAAAAAGAAAAACUAAAUAACCAAAGAAAAACUAAAAAUGAAUUUGAAAAUAAAACAAACAAAGAAAAAGCCCAUCAUGGGGGUGUGACAAUAGGAAAGAAAGGGGGGUGCUAGGAGUAGAUUGGGCACUUGGCCCAGUCAUGAAAGGCCCAACCAGAGAGUCAAAUAUUGACUCGGUCUUGGCCAUGUGAUCUAACUACCA
rnacentral:lncRNA from 1 species